CUCGGUGAGGACUUGGGGGUCAAAAAAGUACUCCUGGGCAAUUGUGCAGACGAAUCACAAAGUCAAGACAAGAAGUUCAAGUUAGCAGAUGUCAAGGUCACUCUGCCUGAAGCCAAAACCAUUUUUGGAAGAUCCAAACAGCUGCAGCCGUGCACCUGGCCACAAAAUAAAGGCA